rnacentral:rRNA from 1 species
UACGAACGCUGGCGGCGUGGAUAAGACAUGCAAGUCGAGCGGGACAAUCAGGGUAGCAAUAUUCUGGUUGUUCAGCGGCGCAAGGGUGCGUAACACGUGGGUAAUUUGCCAUGAAGUCUGGAAUAACUUGCUGAAAGGUGAGCUAAUGCCGGAUAUGACUUCCGAGGGGCAUCUCUUGGAAUUCAAAGCUGGAACCGUAAGGUCUGGCGCUUCUUGAUAAGCCCGCGGUCUAUCAGCUAGUUGGUGAGGUAACGGCUCACCAAGGCUAAGACGGAUAGCUGGUCUGAGAGGACGACCAGCCACACUGGAACUGAGACACGGUCCAGACACCUACGGGUGGCAGCAGUCGAGAAUUUUUCACAAUGGGCGAAAGCCUGAUGGAGCGACGCCGCGUGGGGGAUGAAUGGCUUCGGCCCGUAAACCCCUGUCAUUUGCGAACAAACCUUACCGGUUAAUACCCGGUGAGCUGAUUGUAGCGGAAGAGGAAGGGACGGCUAA